rnacentral:tRNA from 1 species
GCCUGGGUGGUUCAGUAGGUUGAGCAUCCGACUUCGGCUCGGGUCAUGAUCUGGUGAUUUGUGAGUUCAAGCCCCACGUCGGGCU